rnacentral:rRNA from 1 species
GAAAGUAAGCAAGGGCAGACGGUGGAUGCCUUGGCUCUCGGAGGCGACGAAGGACGUGAUAAGCUGCGAAAAGCCCGGGGGAGGCGCAAAUAGCCCUUGAUCCCGGGAUAUCCGAAUGGGGCAACCCGGCAGGCUGAAGGCCUGUCAUCCCGAAAGGGAGGCGAACGUGGGGAACUGAAACAUCUAAGUACCCAUAGGAGGAGAAAAUAAACAAUGAUUCCGUAAGUAGUGGCGAGCGAACACGGAAGAGCCCAAACCCGUGUCGUCUAGGCGAUACGGGGGUUGUAGGACCACGACGUGGCAAGAUAGAGUCAAGUGGAACGCCUUGGAAAGGGCGACCGUAGAGGGUGAUAGUCCCGUACACGACUGACGAUUGAAGCCUAGUGGUAUCCUGAGUAGCGCGGGGCACGAGAAAUCUUGCGUGAAACAGCGGGGCCCAUCCCGUAAGGCUAAAUACUCCCGAGAGACCGAUAGCGAACCAGUACCGUGAGGGAAAGGUGAAAAGAACCCCGAGCAGGGGAGUGAAAUAGACCCUGAACCCGUCUGCCUACAAGCGGUCGGAGCGUCGUAAUGACGUGACGGCGUGCCUUUUGCAUAAUGAACCUACGAGUUACCUUCCCCGGCAAGGUUAAGUUCUUGAGGAACGGAGCCGAAGCGAAAGCGAGUCUGAACAGGGCGCCAAGUCGGGGGGGGUAGACGCGAAACCGAGUGAUCUACCCUUGGCCAGGUUGAAGGUUGGGUAACACCAACUGGAGGACCGGAUGGGUAAGCGUUGAAAAGCUUUCCAAUGAGCUGAGGGUAGGGGUGAAAGGCUAAUCAAACUCGGAGAUAGCUCGUACUCCCCGAAAUGCAUUUAGGUGCAGCCUCUUUAUAGUAUAUCGUGAGGUAGAGCGACUGAUUGGAUGCGAGGGCUUCACCGCCUAUCAAGUCCAGAUAAACUCCGAAUGCGCGAUAUAUAUUUACAGGGAGUGAGGGCGCGGGUGCUAAGGUCCGUGUCCGAGAGGAGAAGAAUCCAGACCACCGGCUAAGGCCCCCAAAUGAUCGUUAAGUUGAACUAACGAGGUCGGAUCGCAGAGACAGCUAGGAUGUUGGCUUGGAAGCAGCCAUUCAUUUAAAGAGUGCGUAACAGCUCACUAGUCGAGCGAUCUGGCGUGGAUAAUAAUCGGGCAUAAACGAUCUGCCGAAGCCGUGGAUGUCGCAAGACAUGGUAGGGGAGCAUUCCAUGCCGCGUCGAAGAUGAGGGAUGACCCUUGUUGGAGCGCAUGGAAAAGCAAAUGUAGGUAUGAGUAACGAUAAGGGGGGCGAGAAACCCCCCCGCCGAAAGACCAAGGUUUCCUGAUCAACGCUAAUCGGAUCAGGGUGAGUCGGGACCUAAGGCAAAGCCGAACGGCGCCGCCGAUGGAAGAAUGGGUUAAUAUUCCCAUACUGCCUCAUGGAGUGACGUGGAGACGGAGAAGUGACAGUCCUGCCGGCUGACGGAAUAGCCGGUUGAAGGGUGUAGAUAUUGAUUCCCGUAGGCAAAUCCGCGGGGAGAGUCGAACCUGAGAGUAUACGGAGCGCUUGCGCAACGUAAUAUGGACGUAACCAUGCUCCCGAGAAAAUCCGCUAAACUUAUCCAUGCGGCACCCGUACCGUAAACGGACACACGUGGUCGGGUUGAGAAUACUGAGGCGCUCGAGUGAUUCACGGUUAAGGAACUAGGCAAAUUGACCCUGUAACUUCGGGAUAAAGGGUCCUCGUCGUAAGGCGAGGCGCAGAGAAUAGGUCCAGGCAACUGUUUAACAAAAACACAUGGCUGUGCUAAAUGGAAACAUGAUGUAUACAGCCUGACACCUGCCCGGUGCCGGAAGGUUAAGAGGAGAUGUCAUCCGCGAGGAGAAGCGUUGAAUUGAAGCCCCGGUAAACGGCGGCCGUAACUAUAACGGUCCUAAGGUAGCGAAAUUCCUUGUCGGGUAAGUUC